rnacentral:rRNA from 1 species
UAAACAGGAUUCUCUUAGUAACUGCGAGUGAACAGAGAUUAGCCCAACAUCGAAGCCACCAUGCAUUUGUAUGGGAGGCAAUGUGAUGUUUUGGUGUUUGAACGCACUGUCUGGCUAACUUGAAGUCCAUAUUUGACUGUGGCUUGUAUUUAUACACCCAGAGAUGGUGAUAGGCCCGUUCAGGUUGGUAUUCUGGCAUGACAGUUCAGUGUGUAAUCAUUCAUCAUAGAGUCGGAUUGCUUGAGAGUGCAGUCCAAAAUGGGUGGUAAACUCCAUCUAAGGCUAAAUACCUGUACGAGUCCGAUAGUCAACAAGUACCGUGAGGGAAAGUUGAAAAGUACUCUGAAGAGAGAGUAAAUAGUACGUGAAACCACAUGGAGGUUAAACAAAUAGAGUCAAGCUGCUUGCAUCAUAUCAUUGCAAUAUGCGCAUUUUGUUGCAUGACAUUUGCCGGGACCUGGCGUGUGAUUCUGUCUACUUGUAGGCAUUUGAACAUGUGUUUGUUGUUGAAAGGUCUCGGUGAGUGUCUGCGCUUAUUGUUCAUGAUGGGUGCUAAUGCCAUAGUCGGUUGUACUACCAGUGCGCAGUAAUCGGCGAUUGUGCGGGCUGACUUAUUGUCGUUCGUGCAAUCAGUGAAACAGUUGGCAACAGUGUGUGCUUGCAUUCGCUUUUGUCAAAGAAGGCCACGGCCUGUUGAUUACUGUGAACAUUGUGAGAGUCGACCGUUCAUAUGUGCUCAUAUAAUUUGUGGUAGUAAGUCGACUUGUCGACUACUUCCAUAAAUGAGCUUAUGAGCUAUGGUAUUGUGGUAGACUUUCUAUUUG